GGUCAGUGUGGGCACAGGAUCCAUGGGUCACUCUGGGCACAGGAUCCCUGGUCAGUGUGGACACAGGAUCCCUGGGUCGCUCUCCGCUCUGCGCUGCUCGCUGUGUCUGCUCGCCCGUUCCCUUCCCACAUCCCAAACUUUGUUCCGGGCCGGGCGGUGUUUCCGCGGCCCAGCGCGGUGUCCCGGCUCUGGCCCCGGGGCCGUCCCGCGGGGAGCCGGGCCGGUGCCGCGGUUCGGGGAAGGGUCCCGGGCGCGGGCCCGGCCGGUCCGGCCUUACCUGGGCGCGGCCGCCGAGGGGGCGCGGGCAGGCCGGGGCCUCCGGCCCGGGCGCGGCGGCGGCGGCUCGGGGCAGCCCCGGCGCCGCUGCCGCUGCCGAGGUGUCGGUGCCGGUGCGGUGCCGGUGCUGUGCCCGUGCCCGUGCCCGUGCCCGUGCCCGUGCCCGUGUCCCGCUCGCUCCGGUCGCUUUCGCCGCCGCCGCUGGUCCCGACACGUCCGGGCCGCUGCCACCGCGCAUGCGCCACAUCCGGGUUCCGCCGCGCAUGCGCCACAUCCGGGUUCCGCCGCGCCUGCACCACAUCCGGGUCCCGCCGCGCAUGCGCCACAUCCGGGUCCCGCCGCGCAUGCGCCACAUCCGGGUCCCGCCGCGCAUGCGCCACAUCCGGGUCCCGCCGCGCCUGCGCGGGCGGGCGCGUUGUGUUUGUGGUUGGCGGGCGGCGCGCCGCGGGGAGAGCGGAGCGGGCGGGCUGCGCUCCGGGGAACCGGGAUUCCGCGGGAUCCCACGGGAUAUCACGGGAUCCCACUGCAUCCCACGGGAUAUCACGGGAUUCCACUGCAUCCCACUGGAUUCCACAGCAUCCCACUGGAUCCCACAGCGUCCCGCUGGAUCCCACUGGAUUCCACAGGGUCCAGCUGGGUCCCACUGGAUCCCGCUGCAUCCCACGGGAUCUCACAGGAUCCCACAGCAUCCCGCUGGAGCCCACAGCAUCCCACGGGAACCCCCAGCAUCCCACUGUAUCACACAGCG
rnacentral:lncRNA from 1 species